rfam:Oryza meridionalis cultivar OR44 (W2112) chromosome 3, whole genome shotgun sequence.
AAUAAGUUUAUUUGUAGGUUUCUAUAUCCGACGUUUAACCGUCCGUUUUAUUUAAUUUUUUUAUUAUUAGUAUUUGUUAUUAUUAGAUGAUUAAAUAUGAAUAGUACUUUACGCGUGACUUAUUUUUAAAUUUUUUUUCAAAUAAGACGGACGGUCAAACGUUGAACAUAAAUCCUCACAAAUGAACUUAUU